GACGAACGCUGGCGGCGUGCCUAAUACAUGCAAGUCGAACGCAGUGGGGACGGGUGAGUAACCCGUGGGUAACCGCCCAUCAGAGGGGAUAACACUUGGAAACAGGUGCUAAACCGAUACUGAUGGAUGGACCCGCGGUGCAUUAGCUAGUUGGUGAGGUAACGGCUCACCAAGGCGACGAUGCAUAGCCGGCCUGAGAGGAUGAUCGGCCACACUGGAACUGAGACACGGCCCAGACUCCUACGGGAGGCAGCAGUGGGGAAUCUUCGACAAUGGGCGAAAGUCUGACCGAGCAACGCCGAGUGAGUGAAGAAGGUUUUCGGAUCGUAAAGCACUGUUGUUAGAGAGGCGGUAUCUAACCAGAAAGCCACGGCUAACUACGUGCCAGCAGCCGCGGUAAUUC
rnacentral:rRNA from 1 species